CCAGCAUGGAUAGCCUAGGAGGUCUCUCUCGGCUCUGUCAAAGUGGUACAGGGGAGCCUAGGGCUCUACUCCAUGAUGUGCAUUUCCUUUCCAUAACAUUGGAGAUGAAGCGAGGCCUUUGGGUCUGCUCCUGCAUGGUCCUAUAAUUUCUCAGAGUCCUGUGGAUCAUGAUUGAGGAGACAAACUAUGCAGGAAACAAUG
ensembl:snoRNA SNORA73 Small nucleolar RNA SNORA73 family